CGGAUGGCAUCCCCUCAAAUAUUGGAAACCUCUUUUCCUCCAUGGUGCGUCGUAAAGGUUCUAAUAUAUUAUUUGGCUAAGUCUUUAAAUACAAUGGUUGUGGUAAUGGUUCAGUGGUUAUGACAAUGACGAUGGUGGUCAUGGUGCUGGUGACGAGGUCCCGGGUGGUGAUUGAUUGUACUGGUCACUGGUGUUCGAGGUCGUGG
rnacentral:lncRNA from 1 species